rnacentral:rRNA from 1 species
UACAGAGGUCUCAAGCGUUGUUCGGAUUCAUUGGGCGUAAAGGGUGCGUAGGCGGCGCGUUAAGUCGGGUGUGAAAUCUCGGAGCUUAACUCCGAAACUGCAUUCGAUACUGCCGUGCUUGAGGACUGGAGAGGAGACUGGAAUUUACGGUGUAGCGGUGAAAUGCGUAGAUAUCGUAAGGAAGACCAGUGGCGAAGGCGGGUCUCUGGACAGUUCCUGACGCUGAGGCGCGAAGGCCAGGGGAGCAAACGGG